CACUCCUGCGGGAGGCAGCAGUGGGGAAUUUUGGACAAUGGGCGAAAGCCUGAUCCAGCAAUGCCGCGUGCAGGAUGAAGGCCUUCGGGUUGUAAACUGCUUUUGUACGGAACGGAAAAGCUCCUUCUAAUACAGGGGGCCCAUGACGGUACCGUAAGAAUAAGCACCGGCUAACUACGUGCCAGCAGCCGCGGUAAUACGUAGGGUGCGAGCGUUAAUCGGAAUUACUGGGCGUAAAGCGUGCGCAGGCGGUUAUGUAAGACAGAUGUGAAAUCCCCGGGCUCAACCUGGGAACUGCAUUUGUGACUGCAUAGCUAGAGUACGGUAGAGGGGGAUGGAAUUCCGCGUGUAGCAGUGAAAUGCGUAGAUAUGCGGAGGAACACCGAUGGCGAAGGCAAUCCCCUGGACCUGUACUGACGCUCAUGCACGAAAGCGUGGGGAGCAAACAGGAUUAGAUACCCUAGUAGUCCCA
rnacentral:rRNA from 1 species